CUACGGAGGUUGCAAGCGUUACUCGGAAUUACUGGGCGUAAAGGACGCGUAGGCUGGUUUGCAAGUCAGGGGUGAAAGCCUACAGCUUAACUGUAGAACUGCUCUUGAAACUGCUUACCUAGAGUAUGGGAGAGGUGAAAGGAAUUAGUGGUGUAGGGGUAAAAUCCGUAGAGAUCACUAGGAAUACCGAUUGCGAAGGCGUUUCACUGGAACAUUACUGACGCUGAGGCGUGAAAGCGUGGGGAGCAAACAGGAUUAGAAACCCUAGUAGUCC
rnacentral:rRNA from 1 species